rnacentral:rRNA from 1 species
UACGUAGGGUGCGAGCGUUGUCCGGAAUUAUUGGGCGUAAAGGGCUUGUAGGCGGUUUGUCGCGUCGGGAGUGAAAACUCAGGGCUUAACCCUGAGCCUGCUUCCGAUACGGGCAGACUAGAGGUAUGCAGGGGAGAACGGAAUUCCUGGUGUAGCGGUGAAAUGCGCAGAUAUCAGGAGGAACACCGGUGGCGAAGGCGGGUCUCUGGGCCGAUACUGACGCUGAGGAGCGAAAGCGUGGGGAGCGAACAGG